GGGACACGUGGUAUCCUGUCUGAAUAUGGGGGGACCAUCCUCCAAGGCUAAAUACUCCUGACUGACCGAUAGUGAACCAGUACCGUGAGGGAAAGGCGAAAAGAACCCCGGCGAGGGGAGUGAAAAAGAACCUGAAACCGUGUACGUACAAGCAGUGGGAGCACAGAGCAAUCUGUGUGACUGCGUACCUUUUGUAUAAUGGGUCAGCGACUUAUAUUCUGUAGCAAGGUUAACCGAAUAGGGGAGCCGAAGGGAAACCGAGUCUUAACUGGGCGUUAAGUUGCAGGGUAUAGACCCGAAACCCGGUGAUCUAGCCAUGGGCAGGUUGAAGGUUGGGUAACACUAACUGGAGGACCGAACCGACUAAUGUUGAAAAAUUAGCGGAUGACUUGUGGCUGGGGGUGAAAGGCCAAUCAAACCGGGAGAUAGCUGGUUCUCCCCGAAAGCUAUUUAGGUAGCGCCUCGUGAAUUCAUCUCCGGGGGUAGAGCACUGUUUCGGCAAGGGGGUCAUCCCGACUUACCAACCCGAUGCAAACUGCGAAUACCGGAGAAUGUUAUCACGGGAGACACACGGCGGGUGCUAACGUCCGUCGUGAAGAGGGAAACAACCCAGACCGCCAGCUAAGGUCCCAAAGUCAUGGUUAAGUGGGAAACGAUGUGGGAAGGCCCAGACAGCCAGGAUGUUGGCUUAGAAGCAGCCAUCAUUUAAAGAAAGCGUAAUAGCUCACUGGUCGAGUCGGCCUGCGCGGAAGAUGUAACGGGGCUAAACCAUGCACCGAAGCUGCGGCAGCGACGCUUAUGCGUUGUUGGGUAGGGGAGCGUUCUGUAAGCCUGUGAAGGUGUGCUGUGAGGCAUGCUGGAGGUAUCAGAAGU
rnacentral:rRNA from 1 species